rnacentral:rRNA from 1 species
UACGGAGGGUGCAAGCGUUGUCCGGAUUUAUUGGGUUUAAAGGGUGCGUAGGUGGUCCUCUAAGUCUGGUUUGAAAGCUGGUGGCUCAACCAUUAGAUGUGGCUGGAAACUGGGGGACUUGAAUGGGUUGGCGGCUGCCGGAACGGGUCAUGUAGCGGUGAAAUGCAUAGAUAUGACCCAGAACACCGAUUGCGAAGGCAGGCAGCUAGGACCCGAUUGACACUGAGGCACGAGAGCAUGGGUAGCCAACAGG